UGUGGGUUGGCGUAAUAGUUAACAUAACAGGCUCAUGACCUGUAGAUAAUGGUGCGAAUCCGUUGCCCGCAC